CUUCAUAUACCUAAGUAACAAUAAAUCUAAAUAUUUUAUAUAAAUUCCAAUGUGAAAAAUAUAUGGAGAACAUACUCAUGAACUCAUCAAGAGGAAAAACUAAUGCGCCGAAACAUUUCCCAGCUGCAAAGGUGCGACACACAUUAAAUUUCACCGCUUUGAUUUGUUGACACUGCGUGGCCCACAUUAACUACACAAUUACCAUAAGAAUAAUUUUCAUGGCUUUAACACUCCACGCUAAGCCGCUUUUCUCAACAAAUACCACUUGAAGACCGAGGCUUAGAGGGGCAAGCAUUAACUAUUUAUUUAAACAAUCAAUUAUAACGAGGAAGGCGCUGCUGCCACAAAACAACAACAACAAAAU